GCAUAAUGUUUCCACCUCCUUGUUUGACGGUGGGGAUGGUGUUCUUGGGGUCAUAGGCAGCAUUCCUCCUGCUACAAACAUGUUGAGUUGAUGCCAAAGAGCUCGAUUUUGGUCUCAUCUGACCACAACACUUUCACCUAGUACUCCUCUGAAUCAUUCAAAUGUUCACUGGCAAACCUUAGACAGACCUGUACUUUCUUGAGCAGGGGGACCUUCCGGGUGCUGCAGGA